UGCGUAGGCGGAUUUAUAAGUCAGUGGUGAAAUCCUACAGCUUAACUGUAGAACAGCCAUUGAUACUGUAGAUCUUGAGUACGGUUGAGGUGGGCGGAAUGUGUCAUGUAGCGGUGAAAUGCUUAGAUAUGACACAGAACACCAAUUGCGAAGGCAGCUCGCUAAACCGUAACUGACGCUGAGGCACGAAAGCGUGGGGAGCGAACAGGAUUAGAUACCCUGGUAGUCC
rnacentral:rRNA from 1 species